CCACUCCCAAACCAAAUCACAGCCUCUGUCCAGUUCCAGUUUCCGUUGUUGAUAAGGAUUAAAAUCCGCCCAUCGAAGUUUUUUCACUUUCCUUUCUGUUCAUCUUUAACUCAUCAAGAAGCCAAACGUACUAAAAAAAGAAAAUGAAGCUCUCCCUCAAUCUUCAAGAUGACCACCAAAUCCAAAACCCUCUCUUGAAGGCUAAACUACCCAUUUCAAUACUCAAUCAACCUUUCACUUCUAUCCUCACUACCACCACAACAAAGUCCAUUUCUGACCUCACUCUUGCUCUCUCUACGAACUUCCCUUCAGGCCCUUCUCUCAAGCUUACCUACACUCCAUCCACAACAACAGCCAUUUCUCCUUUCUCUCUCUCUCUUAAAUCAGGCUCAGGCCUUUUUGGUUCUCCACACGAUUCCCCUCUUGUUUUCUCUGCUCAUUUUUCUCUCCCCAGUUCAAGCUCCAACUUGAUUUUACCUUCUUUCUCUCUCCAAUUCAAGCCACAAUUUGGCCAUUUCUCACUCCACAAGAGAACCACCACUCCAUCUUCAAACCCUAACUAUGAUCUUAAUUGUGGGUCCCAAACCACAAAUAGGCCCCAUUUGGAAUCUGGGUCACCUUUAAAAUCUGAACCUGGAAAUGGGUUUGCUUCAGCUGGGUCAUCAGGUUGGCAAGAAUUGAAAUUAGAGCCAUGUAAUGGUAAAGGGAAAGAGGGGUUUGUGAAUCAUAAUUACAUUGAUGAUGCUUAUGGAAUUGGGUUUUCUCCGGAGAGGCAAUUGGUGUGGGAAUAUGGAAAGAAGAGAGGGCUUUUUAGUGGAUUUGGCGUAAAGGCAAAAACAGCGUUGCCUUUAACUGAAAGGGUAUCGAUGAAUUUGAGGUGGGCUGUGAAUUUUCCUGGUGAGUUGGGAAUAAAAAUGCCCUACUUGAUAGUGAAUAAGAUUGGGAUUGAGAGGGUUGAGGAGUUAAAGGAAGUAAAGAAGGAAAAAAGCAAUGAGAGUAAUUCGGGAGAUUUAGAGUUGUUGAAAGGAAUGUGCUUUUGGAUGAAAAGGGAUUUGGAGGUGUUAGAGGCUGACAAUAGGGCGAUGAAGCACUAUUUAGAGAAUAUGAGACUGGGAGUUUUGGCGAGGAAUUCGCGCAAAGAGAUCAAUGGUCUUGUUAAGAGAGUGGAGCCAGCUUCAAGUGGUAAUCUUAGUGGGUUUGAGCAGUGGAGGAGCAACAAAAAUGAUGGAGAAGGAAAUGGGCAAAGAGAAGAAUUGAAGAAGCCUGCAAAGAAGGUGUCUGACUUGGAAAGUGAGUUGCAAAAGGCUAUUAAAGCUGCUUCCUCUUAACCAGGUUUUGCUGGAAAGUGAAUGAUGUAUUAGAAAUUUGUACUUUCUUCAGAAGAUAUCAGGGAUGUCUUGUAUGUCUUAGCACCUCGUUUCCUUGUUUUUGCUUUUCUUUUUCUCCAAUGGCUUAUAUCAAUAAAUGGUUUGCUACUAUUUGAAUGAUAUCAGGUUUGUGUAUUGUAAGUUUGGAGUAUGUGCAAAAAACCGAUUAGCUAUUAACCUAGAGGAUGUAAAGGUGGCUUGAUUAUCGCUUGACAACAACUCCUAAAUACCAUGUGAUUUUGAGAUUAUUUGCCCUAAAUUUAUUUGUUGAUAAGUAAAGUAACAAGUGUUUGCAUCUGGGAAGAAAAGGUCAUUACUAUAGCUCUCUCUCUUUUCAUGGUCUGUCACGAUUAAGAUAACUAAUUUUAGUCUUGUUCAGUGAAAUUCAUCUUGAAGCCCAGUUGCCUCAGUUACCCUAUAGAUCUUUCUGAAUUGUUGAGACUAUAGUAUUUGGCUCCAUACCCACUGAUUUUGAAUCCUUGCUUGAUUUCUGAGCACAAGUGUUCUAAAGAGCCUGGUAAUGGACUACCUACCUUCCAUUAAAACCAGAUGUUUUUUACAAGCUGAUGCGUUAAUAUUUCAAAUUCAUUUGCCACAAAAUCAAUUCCAAGCUCUGUUUCUUACGUUGUGAUGGCCAGAAAAGGUUUCAUGUUCUUGGUUGUUAAGAGAAUUUGCAUGAGAUCACCAUAGAAUAUGUGGAUCCAGUUGCUCCAGUGUACUUAGAUUGGCAGGUUCUUUCAGUGUGCACGGUAUUAUUGCUCUUCGAAAAUCAGCAUGUAUCCAUUUUUACUGAGCUUUACCAAGUAAAAUGGUUUUUAUGCUUUGGUGAAAAUGAAUUGCUGGUUUGGGCGUUGAUAUAAGGUGCUGGACUAGCUCUUGUUGAAGCACGGUUACCCACAACAACUGGAUUUGGAGGGAAUAGGAUAACAUUACCGGGCAUGACUUUCACCUAAUCGGUCAGUUGGCAGCAUGAAGGUGUCCUACAAAACAAUCUUUCUGUGUCUUCAGGGAUUUGUGAAUACCAUUAAUAAGCCACUCACUCCACAGGAGAUGCCCUGACGUUGAAUGAGCAAGCCAAUCAGUUGGCGGAGACCAAUAUAAAUCCACUUUAUGUGCUGUAUGGUUCUUGAACUAUAGCAAGACAUGUGUGCUGAUAUUGCAGGGAUCAAGAUGAUGAUUUUGGACUUGGAAGGCCUUUUCUACCAUAAAAUCUUCGGUAGAUUUUAAUAGCUUCAGAAUGAAGAUAUGCAUAGCUAUGUUGCAUGUGAUGUAUUCAUUAGCUGUAGGCAUUUCUAAUGAACAAAUUAUUCAAUCUCUGUCUCCUUCAACUAAGAGGAAUCAUAUGAUGGAACUUGAACCACC